ACCCCUAUAGACAUGGUUACUAGUAUUUUUUGUUUUUACCUUGUAUUAUUAUUUCCGACACCCCUUGAACACACUUUGAUUUUCCGUAGUUCAGUGAAUGCAACAAAAGCACGCUGCUGCAUUAAGCUAGGCAAAACGGAGCAAGACACCCGAGAGCAAUUAUCAAGCUACACAAGGCCUUUAUGUGUUUUACUCUCGACCAAAACCAGGCAGAGCGUGUGUUUGUUUCUUGGGAACUCCGACUGGUUUUUUGUGAUCCUGGAUCUGAAGUGGUUCUGGAUAUGGAUGGCGAACCAGACCCUGUGAAAACUCUUGGCGAAUCCAAAAGCAGUGUGGCCAGCUGUUCUGGAUGCAGGAGUAGAGCUACAGUCUGACUUACUUCGGAUCACAGGAUUUCAGAUAAGCAAGAGCAAAAACUGCUUACUUUAUACGGAUCGUUUCUCUGGAAACUAUUGAACUCACAAUAUCCUGUUCAUCAGGAGUCAGGUCUAAAGAGACUACUUAUUUUAUUUUAUUUUAUUUUGUUGUUAUUUUCAAAAGAGCGCUCUUCUCUGUCGAUCUUCGGUAUAAUUUUCUUGUUGUUUACAUUGGUUUAUUGCACAAUUGUAACAUUGUAAUAAACCUACCGGCUGUUCAACACUCAAUUCCCUCAAAUUUAUUUUACUCCUCUCGAAUCUAGUCGAUAAGCUUAACCUUACUAUACUAAGCAGGUGUUACAUAUAUGCUUUAGCAAAAAGGAAAGUUUUAAACCUAAUUAUUACGUCCCCUGGCUAGUCUAGGGCAUAGGAGGGACUAACAUAUAGUUAAAAUCGUGAAAGAGGAGUCAGGAUGACAUUUGCUAAAGGUUUAUUUUUUGCUGUUUGAAGCUCUGAUUCAGACUGAUAUUUAACUUCAGGGAGAGCUAAGGCCAACAUAACAAACAAAACAUCCCUAAUAGAAAAUAAAAGGAACUUACCUAACUAAAACGAAAACAAAAUAUACAACGUACAAAAAUAACCUACCUAACCAGCACAUAAACAGUAGACAAUGAGGGAUCAUAAAACAAAGGCAGCUCUCCCCUACAGAGACCGUCUGAACAAAGUCACAUAAGGAUAAAAAUACAAAUCAAAGGCAUGUGAGCCUGCACAAGUAUGGCAGCCAAAAUGGCCAGAAGGCCCAGAAACACAGCUCCACAGACAUAGUGCUUUGCUAAUUGCCUUGAUUCAAGCAGCAGCACCCAAUCAGGACAGAGGAGGUGGAGCCUAGACAAAACACAAGGCAUUAUCUCACAAAGAAAAAACUAAUAUCCUCAUGAGGGAUGUAACACUACCACCCAUAAGAACAAAUGUUUAAUUUUGUUAACCUUAUAUACCAUUACAUCCUUGAGAGGGCAUCUGCCACAAUGUUGUCACAUCCUUUUAAUGCUUUAUUUCAAUAUAGUAGUUUUGAGAAUUUAAAGCCCACCUCAUCAGCUGUUGAUUACUGUUAUACGUGAGAGGAACACAAGAGGAUUAUGAUCAGUGAUGACGUGCACAGGUUUUAAAGUAGAUCCCACAUACACAUCAAAGUGUUGAAGAGCUUAAGGCAUGGCAAGAGUCUCCUUUUCAGUUGUUGAAUAUUGUCUUUGAUGGCGUUGAACUUCUUACAGAAGAAGCAGACAGGAUGACUCACUCCUUGUCCAUCAUCUUGAAGAAAAACAGCUCCAGCCCCCACCUCACUGGCAUCAACUUCAAGCUUGAAGGGCUUAGAAAAGUCUGGAGCAUCAAGAACAGCCUUCUAUUUGGGAGAUUUCCCCCGACAUUUCUUGGUCCUUCGAAGCCGGAUGAGACAGCCUAUUUAAAGCAGCUCUCACAGAAAGCGCCUCACCAGGUCCCGUCGGUGCGAGAAGCCCACGUUGAAGUCUGCCGGCAG